CAUUUGUUCUCUAAAUAAGGACUUGUAUGAAUGGCCAAACGAGGGUUUUACUGUCUCUUACUUCCAAUCAGUGAAAUUGACCUUCCCGUGAAGAGGCGGGAAUAUAUCAACAAGACGAGAAGACCCUAUGGAGCUUUAACUACUUAGCCCAAAGAAAUAAAUUUAACAACUAAGGAAACAACAAUACUCUUUAUGGGCUAACAGCUUUGGUUGGGGUGACCUCGGAGAACAGAAAAUCCUCCGAGCGAUUUUAAAGACUAGACCUACAAGUCAAAUCACACAAUCGCUUAUUGAUCCAAAAAAUUGAUCAACGGAACAAGUUACCCUAGGGAUAACAGCGCAAUCCUAUUCAAGAGUCCAUAUCGACAAUAGGGUUUACGACCUCGAUGUUGGAUCAGGACAUCCCGAUGGUGCAACCGCUAUCAAAGGUUCGUUUGUUCAACGAUUAAAGUCCU
rnacentral:rRNA from 1 species